CUUUUGAUGGCGACCGGCGCACGGGUGAGUAACACGUAUCCAACCUGCCUCAUACUCGGGGAUAGCCUUUCGAAAGAAAGAUUAAUACCCGAUGUUAUAGUCCUACCGCAUGAUGGGAUUAUUAAAGAAUUUCGGCAUGGGAUGGGGAUGCGUUCCAUUAGUUAGUUGGCGGGGUAACGGCCCACCAAGACAACGAUGGAUAGGGGUUCUGAGAGGAAGGUCCCCCACAUUGGAACUGAGACACGGUCCAAACUCCUACGGAAGGCAGCAG
rnacentral:rRNA from 1 species